rnacentral:lncRNA from 1 species
UGGCUCCUAGGAAGUUAAUACAUCGGAAAACGUGAGAACUCCAAUGCUACUCUUUAUAGUUAGCUCCUAAUUCACAUUUUAUAUUUAUUUUAUAUAAAUGGGAGGAAAAAGUUAACUAAAAGAGAGAGAAGAUUGGAAAGAAAAUAAUAUUAUAUUGAGUUAAGAGCUACUAGAUUCUCUUUAAAAGAAAGGAGAGAGAGUAACCUCCUAAAUUUUUAAAGAGUAUCUAGGAGCCCAUUGGAGCACUAGAUUUUGAUUUGCUCCUAAAAUUUG